rnacentral:rRNA from 1 species
GAUGAACGCUAGCUACAGGCUUAACACAUGCAAGUCGCGGGGCAGCAUGGGGGUUGCUUGCAAUCCCCGAUGGCGACCGGCGCACGGGUGAGUAACGCGUAUCCAACCUGCCCUUCACCACGGGAUAACCCGGCGAAAGUCGGACGAAUACCGUAUGUUGUCCAUUGACGGCAUCCGAUUUGGACGAAAGGCUUGGCGGUGAGGGAUGGGGAUGCGUCCGAUUAGCCAGACGGCGGGGUAACGGCCCACCGUGGCUACGAUCGGUAGGGGUUCUGAGAGGAAGGUCCCCCACACUGGAACUGAGACACGGUCCAGACUCCUACGGGAGGCAGCAGCGAGGAAUAUUGGUCAAUGGGCGUAAGCCUGAACCAGCCAAGUAGCGUGCAGGAUGACGGCCCUAUGGGUUGUAAACUGCUUUUAUGCGGGGAUAAAGUGGCCCACGUGUGGGCUUUUGCAGGUACCGCAUGAAUAAGGACCGGCUAAUUCCGUG